UACAGAGGUCUCAAGCGUUGUUCGGAUUCAUUGGGCGUAAAGGGUGCGUAGGUGGGUUGGUAAGUCAGUGGUGAAAUCUCCGGGCUUAACUCGGAAACUGCCGUUGAUACUAUCAAUCUUGAAUGUUGUGGAGGUAAGCGGAAUAUGUCAUGUAGCGGUGAAAUGCUUAGAUAUGAACAUAGAACACCGAUAGCGAAGGCAGCUUGCUACACAAUAAUUGACGCUGAGGCACGAAAGCGUGGGGAUCAAACAGG
rnacentral:rRNA from 1 species